ensembl:snoRNA
GGUCAAUGAUGAGACUAGCCAAAUCUGAGCAUCAGAAGACCGUCAGUCUAUCUGAUGCAUGAUCACUAGUUCUGAGA